rnacentral:rRNA from 1 species
AUGAUGAUGGUUAAUGUUGAUGCAAGGUUCCUUGAAACAGAACAUACUGCUGGUAGAGCGGCUGGUGUUCGUGGGUAUGAUGGAGCCUUGGUCCGUGCCCAAGAUCUUUGGGUUCAGCAAACACCAAACGCACUGACGCCGGAGGCCUAUGUAGUGAGAGAUGGAGUAAGGCUAGCUUGUGAUAUGAGGAUUCAGAAUGUGGUGAUUGAAAUGGAUGCUAAAGGUGUUAUGGACCUAUGGAAAAUGUUGCAAUCUGAGGGCUGCCUUAGCUCCGAGAUGAACUAUAGGAACCCGUCGUGUGGUGGCUCUAGUACCCACACUCUUGAGGACCUUCAUAAACAUGGGAUAUCACACUCUGUGACGAGGUAA